rnacentral:rRNA from 1 species
UACGAAGGGUGCAAGCGUUACUCGGAAUUACUGGGCGUAAAGCGUGCGUAGGUGGUUCGUUAAGUCUGAUGUGAAAGCCCUGGGCUCAACCUGGGAAUGGCAUUGGAAACUGGCGACCUAGAGUGCGGUAGAGGGUAGUGGAAUUCCCGGUGUAGCAGUGAAAUGCGUAGAGAUCGGGAGGAACAUCUGUGGCGAAGGCGACUGCCUGGACCAGCACUGACACUGAGGCUCGAAAGUGUGGGGAUCAAACAGG